AAUCUUGCGCAAUGGGCGAAAGCCUGACGCAGCCAUGCCGCGUGAAUGAUGAAGGNCUNNGGGUUNUNAAGCUCUUUCAGUGGNNNNNAUAAUGACGGUACCCACACAAGAAGCCCCGGCUAACUUCGUGCCAGCAGCCGCGGUAAUACGAAGGGGGCUAGCGUUGUUCGGAUUUACUGGGCGUAAAGCGCACGUAGGCGGAUUGGUCAGUUAGGGGUGAAAUCCCGGAGCUCAACUCCGGAACUGCCUUUAAUACUGCCAGUCUAGAGUCCGAGAGAGGUGAGUGGAACUCCUAGUGUAGAGGUGGAAUUCGUAGAUAUUAGGAAGAACACCAGUGGCGAAGGCGGCUCACUGGCUCGGUACUGACGCUGAGGUGCGAAAGCGUGGGGAGCAAACAG
rnacentral:rRNA from 1 species